rnacentral:rRNA from 1 species
CCUACACGACCGUACCGCAAACCGACACUGGUGCGCGAGAUGAGUAUUCUAAGGCGCUUGAGAGAACUCAGGAGAAGGAACUCGGCAAAUUGACACCGUAACUUCGGAAGAAGGUGUGCCUUUAGUAGGUGAAGUCCCUCGCGGAUGGAGCCCAAUGAGGUUGCAAAAAAUCGGUGGCUGCGACUGUUUAUUAAAAACACAGCACUCUGCAAACACGAAAGUGGACGUAUAGGGUGUGACGCCUGCCCGGUGCUGGAAGAUUAAAUGAUGGGGUGCAAGCUCUUGAUUGAAGUCCCAGUAAACGGCGGCCGUAACAAUAACGGUCCUAAGGUAGCGAAAUUCCUUGUCGGGUAAGUUCCGACCUGCACGAAUGGCGUAACGAUGGCCACUGUCUCCUCCUGAGACUCAGCGAAGUUGAAAUGUUUGUGAUGAUGCAAUCUCCCCGCGGAAAGACGGAAAGACCCCAUGAACCUUUACUGUAGCUUUGUAUUGGACUUUGAACAGAUCUGUGUAGGAUAGGUGGGAGGCUUUGAAGCAGGGUCGCUAGAUCUUGUGGAGCCAACGUUGAAAUACCACCCUGGUGUGUUUGAGGUUCUAACCUAGGCCCGUAAUCCGGGUUGGGGACAGUGCAUGGUAGGCAGUUUGACUGGGGCGGUCUCCUCCCAAAGUGUAACGGAGGAGUUCGAAGGUACGCUAGUUACGGUCGGACAUCGUGACGAUAGUGCAAUGGCAUAAGCGUGCUUAACUGCGAGACUGACAAGUCGAGCAGAUGCGAAAGCAGGACAUAGUGAUCCGGUGGUUCUGUAUGGAAGGGCCAUCGCUCAACGGAUAAAAGGUACUCUGGGGAUAACAGGCUGAUACCGCCCAAGAGUUCAUAUCGACGGCGGUGUUUGGCACCUCGAUGUCGGCUCAUCUCAUCCUGGGGCUGUAGCCGGUCCCAAGGGUAUGGCUGUUCGCCAUUUAAAGAGGUACGUGAGCUGGGUUUAAAACGUCGUGAGACAGUUUGGUCCCUAUCUUCCGUGGGCGCUGCAGAUUUGAGGAAGCCUGCUCCUAGUACGAGAGGACCGGAGUGGACGCACCUCUGGUGUAUCGGUUGUCACGCCAGUGGCAUUGCCGAGUAGCUAUGUGCGGAAGAGAUAACCGCUGAAAGCAUCUAAGCGGGAAACUCGUUUCAAGAUGAGAUCUGCCGGGGCCUUGAGCCCCCUGAAGAGUCGUUCAAGACCAGGACGUUGAUAGGUCGGGUGUGGAAGCGCAGUAAUGCGUUAAGCUAACCGAUACUAAUUGCUCGUGCGGCUUGACCU